rnacentral:misc_RNA from 1 species
UUAAGUUCAGCGGGUAUUCCUACCUGAUCCGAGGUCAACCAGAGAGAUGUAUACAUACGAGACGUAUAGAUCGGUGUGUUUACGGCAAGGGCCGGGCCGCCGUCCGGAGCGAGGAGCAAGAUGUUACUGCGCUCAGAGGCCACCACGUCCCCGCCGAUCUUUUCGAGGGACCGCCUGGGCGGAAACCCCAACGCUGGACA